CCUACGGGAGGCAGCAGUGGGGAAUAUUGCACAAUGGGGGAAACCCUGAUGCAGCGACGCCGCGUGAGUGAAGAAGUAUUUCGGUAUGUAAAGCUCUAUCAGCAGGGAAGAAAUAAAGUCCUUCGGACUUUGGACGGUACCUGACUAAGAAGCCCCGGCUAACUACGUGCCAGCAGCCGCGGUAAUACGUAGGGGGCAAGCGUUAUCCGGAUUUACUGGGUGUAAAGGGAGCGUAGACGGCAGCGCAAGUCUGGAGUGAAAGGCCGGGGCCCAACCCCGGGACUGCUCUGGAAACUAUUGAACUUGAGUGCAGGAGAGGUAAGCGGAAUUCCUAGUGUAGCGGUGAAAUGCGUAGAUAUUAGGAGGAACACCAGUGGCGAAGGCGGCUUACUGGACUGUAACUGACGUUGAGGCUCGAAAGCGUGGGGAGCAAACAGGAUUAGAUACCCGGGUAGUC
rnacentral:rRNA from 1 species